rnacentral:lncRNA from 1 species
GGAAAAUAAGCUCAGGGCUCCCACUGAUUUCACAUUAUGAAGGAGACAUGCAUACAAGGAGAAUGCCAGGUGAACGUGAAGACCAUCAUUUGCAAGCCAAGAGAGGCCUGGAGCAGAUCCUUCAGAGCCCUCAGAAGGGACCAACCCUGCUGGCACCUUGAUUUUGGACUUCCAGCCUCCAGAACUAAGAACUUGAUGUAUACCUCCUGACCUGUUCAUCUUGUAGCUGCCUCUUGACAGCACAUGUUGGCACCUUUAGAAAGAUCUAGAAAUCCACGUGUUGUACGUAAAUCUGGGGCUGUUGUUACUGCAGAUGUACCUUCCACAACUUGAUUUUCUGUGAUGUCAAUUAUUCAGGUUGGAAUCUCUGCAUUUGCAGAAUGUGAUCUCUUACAAUGAUGACUGCAUCUCUGCAGGCUGCAGAGGCCCGGGGACACAUGCUUUCCUCUACUUGUAGAAGGAGGCACCAGACACCUCUUACCCUGGAGUUCUUUUCUCUAGAAGAUAGCCUAUACAGUGGGACAUGGCGUCUUCAACCUCCUGACUCUAAUCACCUUUGAAGAUAAGCAUCCAAUCCCUUUACA